UAGGGAAUCUUCGGCAAUGGACGAAAGUCUGACCGAGCAACGCCGCGUGAGUGAAGAAGGUUUUCGGAUCGUAAAACUCUGUUGUUAGAGAAGAACAAGGACGUUAGUAACUGAACGUCCCCUGACGGUAUCUAACCAGAAAGCCACGGCUAACUACGUGCCAGCAGCCGCGGUAAUACGUAGGUGGCAAGCGUUGUCCGGAUUUAUUGGGCGUAAAGCGAGCGCAGGCGGUUUCUUAAGUCUGAUGUGAAAGCCCCCGGCUCAACCGGGGAGGGUCAUUGGAAACUGGGAGACUUGAGUGCAGAAGAGGAGAGUGGAAUUCCAUGUGUAGCGGUGAAAUGCGUAGAUAUAUGGAGGAACACCAGUGGCGAAGGCGGCUCUCUGGUCUGUAACUGACGCUGUGGCUCGAAAGCGUGGGGAGCAAACAGG
rnacentral:rRNA from 2 species